AUUGAACGCUGGCGGAAUGCUUUACACAUGCAAGUCGAGCGGCAGCGCGGGGCAACCUGGCGGCGAGCGGCGAACGGGUGAGUAAUGCAUCGGAACGUACCCCGUCGUGGGGGAUAACUACCCGAAAGGGUAGCUAAUACCGCAUACGACCUGAGGGUGAAAGCGGGGGACCGAAAGGCCUCGCGCGAUGGGAGCGGCCGAUGCCGGAUUAGCUAGUUGGUAGGGUAAAGGCCUACCAAGGCGACGAUCCGUAGCUGGUCUGAGAGGACGACCAGCCACACUGGAACUGAGACACGGUCCAGACUCCUACGGGAGGCAGCAGUGGGGAAUUUUGGACAAUGGGCGAAAGCCUGAUCCAGCCAUUCCGCGUGAGUGAAGAAGGCCUCGGUGUAAG
rnacentral:rRNA from 1 species